rnacentral:rRNA from 1 species
UACAGAGGGUGCAAGCGUUAAUCGGAUUUACUGGGCGUAAAGCGCGCGUAGGUGGUUUGAUAGGUUGGAUGUGAAAUCCUUGGGCUUAACCCAAGAAUGGCAUUCAAAACGGUCAAGCUAGAGUGUUGGAGAGGGAAGUAGAAUUUCUGGUGUAGCGGUGAAAUGCGUAGAUAUCAGAAAGAAUGACAGUGGCGAAGGCGGCUUCCUGGCCAAAUACUGACACUGAGGCGCGAAAGCGUGGGUAGCGAACGGG